CCUCGAGGAGUGGACUCUGUCGGAAUAGGAACAGGUCCGAAGCGCACUUUUCAACACCCCUCCCGUCAUCCGGCAACAAUAUGAUCCGCUCAAAUCAUAUGGACAUGCUUCAUUAUUCAAAGGACACUCGCAACGCAGCCCUGACGCACAGGACUUAACCGGCACCUCGCCAAUUUUUGAAACAAGAUCUGAAAUCAUCUCAUCGUCUUUCGCUGUCUGCAGAGCUUUUCGGUUGACAUCUGGAGAAGCUGGGUUCUUCACAGGACCAGUGGCCGGCAGCACUAGCAGCAGCAGAGCCAGAGGAGCAGCGGCGGCAGUAGCAGCGGUAGCAGGCUUAACGACGCUAAGCACACUGUCACGCUGUCUGAGGGAGCACCCGAGCGCCCGCGCAGCACCCGCCCCCA